GUCCUUGUCAGUCACCUCGCUGCAGGUGCACAUCAUUUGUAGGUGGCUCGCGCAAGUCGCUGCAGGUGCAUCCAAUCCAACAACGACACGAACGCCGUGGCGGUAACCGCCAAAAUAUCUCACAACCUCCCAGCCCCACGUCCCCUUCCUGCCGGCUUCGGCCUGUACCGUAGCGGCGGCAGCCGCCGGCCGAGCAGAUUCUGCACCCGGAGAGGCUGUGCAGUGGGUGGCCAGUAUCACGCUAAACGCCACGCCCAACAUGCCUAAACAAAAUAAAUAGUCACAGAAUUCACUGUUCGCUUUAGCACGUGCGAGCAUCAAUGCAAAAGCGUGGGUCCACACUUCGUGGUGGGUGGGUGGUAGCCUGGGCCCUGGUGUCUGGUGUAGACGAAGACGGCCACGGCGACCCGUUGCCGUUGCACGCCGACGCCGCAUUGACUUUUGAGCCACCAAGUCUCGAGCGAUGCGCCACACUGCCCGCUGCCACUGACCACUGAUUAGCUUCGCCUCGCUAUACCUAUACAUAUCCGGCGGGCGGCGGCUCGACAGGAGCACCUAGCAGCCAGCAGCGGACGCGCGGACAAGGGCAGCGGCAUGGCGGAGACGGCGAUCACGACGGUGCUGGCCAAAGUGGCGGAGCUGGUGGCGUGGGAGGCGGCUGUGCUGCUGGAGGUGGGCGACGACGUGCGCCUCCUCCGGGACAAGCUCGAGUGGCUCCACACCUUCAUCCGCGACGCCGACCGCCGCCGCCGCCGCCGCGACGACGAGUUCGUCGCCGUCUGGGUGCGCCAGACCCGCGACGUCGCCUUCGAGGCCGAGGACGCGCUGGACGACUUCCUACACCGCGCUGGGCGGAGGAAGGCCGCGCUGGGCUCCCGGUGCGCGCUCGGGUGCUGGUGGCCCGGCGGGUGCGCCGGCCAGGUCGCGCUCCGCCACGACCUCUCGGGGCGUAUCCGCCAGAUCAGGAAGCGGCUCGAUAAGAUCUCCGAGAACCGCGCCGACUACAACAUCGAGCACACGCCCGCGCCGGCCUGGGCCGCUUGCUCCUCCUCCGCCACCACCCUCGCUGCCUGGGACGAUCUAGAGGAGUACACGGUCGGCCUGGACAAGUACAGCGACAUGCUUAAGGAGCAGCUCCUCGACGACUCCGUCCCCGCGCGCGCGCUCGUGGCCAUCGCCGGCGAGAGCAGCAUUGGCAAGACGACGCUCGCGCGGAAGGUGUACCAGAGCCUCGAGGUCCGCAACCACUUCGAGAUCCGCACGUGGACGGUGCUCCCGCACAAGUGCCGCGCCGCCGACGUUCUCCGCGACAUCCACGAGCAGAUGACCUCCCAGCUGCGGCGGACCCCGUCCGCGUCCAACUCCAAGCAGGCCGUGGAAGACGCCUGCGAUGACAAAGCCUUCGGGCCGGGAAAGGACAUCAGCAACCAGCUGUACAGGAGCAUGACGGGGAGGCGGUACCUCGUGGUCAUCGACGGCAGCGUUGCCGUCACGGACUGGAACAGCCUACGAGCUUCCCUCCCCGACGAGGGCAACGGCAGCAGGGUGCUUCUGAUCACGGACUUGGAAGGCCUGGAGGUGGUCGGCCACGCUCAGGCUGGCCACACGUACGACCCGAUCGAGCUGACCCGGCUGAGCCCGGAGAGCACGUACGAGGUGUUCCGACGCCGGGUGUUCGGCGCCCGCGGCGACUGCCCCGGCCGGUACAAGUCGAGGUACUACCAAGACGUGUUCCGGAUCACGCGUGGCCUGCCGCUGUCGAUCGUCGUCCUCGCCGGUAUCCUGCGGUCCAAGGAGCUGCCCGCAGAGUGGGACGAGGUGAUGGCGCAGCUGGCCCCGCCGGCGCGCGAGCAGCAAAGGGGCGGCAGCGGCGGCAGCAGCAACAGCUGGCCCCGGAUCAUGUCGCGGGCCUUCGACGACCUGCCGCACCACCUCAAGUCGUGCUUCCUAUACCUGGCGGCGAUGCGGGAGAGCACCCCGGUGGACGCGCAGCGCCUGGUGCGCCUGUGGGUGGCCGAGGGGUUCGUGCGCCCGCGCCGCGGGAGCACCAUGGAGGAGGUCGGGCAGGGGUACCUCAAGGAGCUCAUCUCCCGGUGCAUGGUGCAGCUGGUGGACAAGGACGACUUCGGCGCCGUGCUGACGGUGGUGGUGCACGACCGGCUGCACGCAUUCGCGCAGGACGAGGCACAGGAGGCCAGCUUCAUCGAGAGCCACGACAGCACAGACGUGCUCGCGCCGGCCACCGUGCGGCGCCUCGCCGUCCUCAACUCCACCACGGACAGGUACGUCCAGCUCAGCAACGCGCUCCCCAAGCUGCGCUCCAUCAUCUGCGACCUGGUGGAGGGUCGCCGAGUCAGGUCCAGCAACUUCAUCCGCACCAGCGACCUGAGCUUCCUCCAUGCUUCCAAGUUCCUCCGUGUCAUCGACAUCCAGGGACUCGAGCUCAAGAGGCUCCCAAACGAGAUCGGCUCCAUGAUCCAUUUGAGGUACCUGGGUCUCCGCUGCGGCCACCUAGAGAAGCUCCCAAGCACCAUUGGCAACCUUGUCAACCUGCAGUCGCUCAUCCUCGGCGGCCGCCACGUUCUGGAGGUGCCCGCCGCGUUCUGGAGGAUCGCCACGCUGCGGCACGUCGUCGCGCGGUUCGCUCUGCCGAGCAGGGCCCUGGGCAACCUGCACAGCCUCCAGACGCUACAUGGCGUGCAGCCCCGCGGGUGGGGCGGCGACUACAACCCGCUGGGGAAGGCCGCCAACCUCCGGUCGCUGGAGCUGGGCGAGCUGACCUCCGAGCACGCCGAUGCGCUCGAGGCCGCGUUGGAGAACCUCGACCUCCUGGAGCACCUGGCGCUGCGGGGCGACCCGCUGCCGUCGAGCGUGUUCAGCGUCCCGAGCCUCCGCCGGCUGCAGAGCCUGAGGCUGAUGGGCGCCAUGGAUGAGCCGGAGGGGCCCAGCUGCGCGGAGGACGUCCGGUACAUCCGGCCGAACCUGACCAGGCUAUCGAUGUGGAAUACCGAGGUGGGGCAGAAGUUCGUGGACAUGCUGGCCGAGCUGCCGAGCCUGGCCGAGCUGACGAUGAUGUACGACUCAUACGACGGCGAUCGGCUGGCGUUCGUGGAGACUGGGUUCCCGAGCCUGCAGAAGCUAAAGCUCGGUCUACCGGAGCUGGAGGAGUGGACGGUGGCCCCGGGGUCCAUGCCGGGGCUCGGCACGCUGACGCUGUGCCGGUGCGCCAGGAUGCAGAUGCUCCCGGAGGCGCUCGCCGGGAUGAGGGAGCUGGAGGAGGUGGUGCUGUACAGCAUGCCCGACAUCGUGAGCAGGAUCAAGGAGGACGAAGGCCAGGAUUACCACAAAGUCAAGCACGUACCCGUCAUCCAGACUAUAUACUGAUCAUCCCCAUCUGGUGAAUGGUGAUUGACCCGUUGUCAACACUGGCUGCUUCAACUCAUGAGCGACUAUGGGUUUAAAUUUGGUUCAUGCCAAACUCCGAAAAAACAAUAUGAACUUUGUGUUGUGGACCAAUUGGUGAACCCGAGUAGCAGAGUGAGCGAUGUGUUUGGGCUUUAUAUUUUCAUGUGAUGGUGUACUUAUUAGAAGUGAAACAUAUGUUUGGACUUGUAUUCUUGCAAGACUUUUAUGUUUGGACAUAUAUAUUUUUAAAUUUGAACUCGUUGUUAGUGUUUGAUUUCUACAUGUAAACUGUUGUUAUGUC